GGCACGGUGGUGCAGUGGUUAGCACUGUUGCCUCACAGCAAGGAGGUCCUGGGUUUGAUUCCGGCCUGGGGCC